rnacentral:lncRNA from 1 species
AUGCCAACUCCGAACUGAAACAUACCUUAUCAGUUGUCUCACUACAACCAAUUCCUCACCACAUAGGGCGUGUAAGAAUGCCUCACCAUCAUCCACCAGGACAACCACCGCCUCCUGAUCCUUUUGCUCCUCCACCACCAGGACCACCUCCUCCUGAUCCUUUUGCUCCUCCACCACCAGGUCCGCCACCACCAAGACCACCGCCUCCUGAUCCUUUUGCUCCUCCACCACCACCGGGACCUCGUUCUCCACCUCCACCAGGGCCUCCUCCACAGCCAGGGCCACAUGGUCCUCCCCCGCCACCUUAAUAUCAUCUCACAGGCUCACCUCAAACAGUAUACUAGUUACAGUAUUAUUAGCAUUAUGUAUAAGAAAUAAAGUGCAUGUGUCCAUGUAAGCUUCACGAAUUAUCUAUAUGUACACACAGUAGGAUUAAUGCCUACCUUAUUUAAUUAAUUUAAAGGGUUAAUUGCACUUUACACUCCAAGGCUUUGGAGGUCAUUUGCACAAUAAGCCACUAAAUUUCAAUUUUUGCAUUUUACACCAUGUGAUUUCUUUAGGGGUGUAACAUCUACACACUCCUUUUUACUUCUCCCACAGCUUUUUAGUUUUCGGUCGUCGGAUCGGAUGAAUUGAAGAAGAUCAACGGAUAUAAAUUAACAAGGUGUAUGAGAAGUAAAAAGGAGUGUGUGGAUUGCACACCCCUUUCUGUAUUACACUAAUUUAACCUCUUUAUCAAUUUUACUAUCUAAUUAAACGUUAGGUGUUGAUGUGGCAUAGACUUUCCCCACAUUUUAAGGACUCAUUGACCAUCAAUUUCAGUGUGUAGUACUUUACUCUUCUAUUGUUUCAAUUCUUUUAUAAAACUAAGAGUCAACAAGUCUUUAAAAUGUGAGCCCAAUAUAUACCACAUCAACUCAUAACGCCUAACUAGAAUCUGAUUUCUUUAUGAUUACCAUUCUAAUCCGAAAGCAAAUACUACAAUUAACACAAAACGAAAAUAACGGGUUUCACAUCAGCAAGAUAACUAAUCGGGUUGUUAUCUGAUCAUCCGUUAAGACCCGUUAUUAAUGGGUUCUUAACUGUUUCCACGCAGGUAACCCGUAUUCACCUCUUAAGAAAAAAGUUAGUUUGAUAAUUUUAAACUACUGAAAAAACCUUACUAGCUACUACAAUAGCUAUAGUACUAAAUCUCACAUGAGUAAGAUUAAAAAUUUCCAAUACACGUUAAAAAUACCAAAGCACAUUAAAAAUUUCAUCAAAAUUCAUUUACAAGUGUGCAAAAUGUGAAAAACAAAAAAAACAAAAAAAUCUGCAAACGCUUGUAAUCGCAUCAUGGUCAUUUGAUUUUUUCAAAACCCUACAAGCCCUCAUGAAUAGUGUUUUAAGUGAGUUCAAAAUAAAUAAAAAUUCAUAAUAAUUAAUGUAGAAGUUGAAAAACUGUGAAAAAAAUAUAUAAACACUUGUGCUUGCAUCAUCUACACUUUGACAAUGGUUGCAUCAUCAUUUAGAUUAUUAAAACCCUCAUGAAAUAAUUUUUUUUUUUGUUUGAGUGCAAAAAUAGUAAUGACAAGCUUUACAAUUUUCGUGAAGGAGUUAACUGUAAUACCCCGUAUUU